AUUUAUAUAGUUUAACCAAAACCUUACACUUUCAUUGUAAAAAUAAGGGUCGUCCUUUAUAAAUU
rnacentral:tRNA from 1 species